AACGAACGCUGGCGGCAUGCCUAACACAUGCAAGUCGAACGAUGCCUUCGGGCAUAGUGGCGCACGGGUGCGUAACGCGUGGGAAUCUGCCUUUCGGUUCGGAAUAACUCGGGGAAACUUGAGCUAAUACCGGAUAACGUCGCAAGACCAAAGAUUUAUCACCGAAAGAUGAGCCCGCGUAGGAUUAGCUAGUUGGUGAGGUAAAGGCUCACCAAGGCGACGAUCCUUAGCUGGUCUGAGAGGAUGAUCAGCCACACUGGGACUGAGACACGGCCCAGACUCCUACGGGAGGCAGCAGUGGGGAAUAUUGGACAAUGGGCGAAAGCCUGAUCCAGCAAUGCCGCGUGAGUGAUGAAGGCCUUAGGGUUGUAAAGCUCUUUUACCCGGGAAGAUAAUGACGGUACCGGGAGAAUAAGCCCCGGCUAACUCCGUG
rnacentral:rRNA from 1 species